CCGAGUACCGGGUCUUCUAGGCCCAUACUCCCACCCUUUGUGUAUCAAUAUUUUGUUCGUUGCCUCGGCGGGGUCGAUCCCACAUGGGGGACCUGCCGGGGGGACACCACCAAACUCUUAUCAACAGUGACGUCUGAGAAAUUUUUUAAACAAGUUA
rnacentral:misc_RNA from 1 species